CCUACGGGGGGCUGCAGUGGGGAAUAUUGGACUAUGGGCGCAAGCCUGAUCCAGCAAUACCGCGUGUGUGAAGAAGGCCUGAGGGUUGUAAAGCACUUUUAAUCGGGAGGAAUAGCGGUCGGUUAAUACCCGGCCGUCUGACAUUACCGAUAGAAAAAGCACCGGCUAACUCCGUGCCAGCAGCCGCGGUAAUACGGAGGGUGCAAGCGUUAAUCGGAAUUACUGGGCGUAAAGCGUGCGUAGGCAUGUGAAAGCCCCGGGCUUAACCUGGGAACGGCAUUUGAAACUGAUCGACUAGAGUUGGGUAGAGGGGAGUGGAAUUUCAGGUGUAGCGGUGAAAUGCGUAGAUAUCUGAAGGAACACCAGUGGCGAAGGCGGCUCCCUGGACCCAAACUGACGCUGAGGCACGAAAGCGUGGGUAGCAAACAGGAUUAGAUACCCCAGUAGUC
rnacentral:rRNA from 1 species